rnacentral:ncRNA from 1 species
CUGACAUGUGUGUGAGUCAAUGGGCUAGAAAACCUAUAAGGCGCAAGGAAGCUGAUUGGCGGGAUCCCUCACAGGUGCACCGCCGACCGACCUUAAUCUUCUGAGAAGGGUUCAAGUGAGAGCAUGCAUGUCGGGACCCGAAAGAUGGUGAGCUAUGCCUGAGCGGGGCGAAGCCAGAGGAAACUCUGGUGGAGGCCCGCAGCGAUACUAACGUGUAAAUCGUUCAUCUAACUUGGGUAUAGGGGCGAAAGACUAAUCGAACCGUCUAGUGUCAUUGG